rnacentral:lncRNA from 1 species
GAAUCUUCAAAACUAAUAACUAUAUCUUUCUCCGAAAUUAUCGGUACCUUGAAUCUCUAAAAAAUAAAUUUACAUUCGUGAGCAACUCCGGCUCAACCCUCUUGUCGCUGCUCUACCUUCACCGCCAUUUUAUGCACAAACCGUUCAUUUAAGCACACCUCUUUUUCUCUCCAAACCUCUUUUGAUCUAUCAAACCGUACUAUAAAAUCUCACAAUCUGGCCUUCCAUCUUCAAGCCGAGAAAUCAGUUACUAAUAACCAAUAUUUUGGGGUUGAUUAGCAAGAUUCAACAAAAUUAUGAAGGUAAUCGCUUCCAAAUUUUAAUCUCUCUAUAAAUUGUAAUCCACCGUAUUCUUUUUUACUGAUCAAUCGUUGAAAGUUUUGAACCCUGAAGUUAUUUGAUCUAGAAGUAGUGAGUUAUUUGAUUCUUUUAACCCUAACAUCGAUCAAAUUUCAUAUUUGGUUUCGUUUGAAUUGGAAUUUCUCAUGUAUCUUUUUCCUAUUCAUUUCUUUCGAUUGAAUGUUUAUGGUUCUAUUGAUGUUCGUUUGUCAAUUUAUCCAAGGAAUGAUGAUUUUAAUGUUUGGGUUUCAUUUUUCACUAAUUUGUCAACUAAUUUUUUUUCUGUUAACAUUGUUUCUUAACAAACAUACCAAGUGUUCCACGAAAUUCCUCAAUGAGUAUAGACGCUAGGUAUUUAUUUGAUUAGGUCAUUUACAUGAUGAUAUCAUAAUUUAUCCCUGACUUAUCUUGACUUAUCUUAUUCAGGGGCUAAAAUUAGAGUUAGAAAAAGCUUCUCCUUCUUUGAGGAGCAAUGCAGUUUACUUUAGGGAUUCACACAUUAAUGGAUUUCCAUAGUAAGACCUCUAUUCACACGUUUUAUUAAUUGAUAUUGUUGUUUGUUAUGGAUUAGCAGAAAAUGGGAGAAGGUUUACAGAUAAAUAUAGUGUGUGUAUUUAAGUGACAAGUACCAUAUUAUGGCAUCUAUGCAUGUAUGAUAAAUACCAUAUUAUAUCAUCAUUGUUUCCACCAAACAAUGUGUAUAUGAGCCUAUUUAUAGCAUUUUAUAUCAGCUGUAUAAAACAGCGGCGUAAUGGUAAUUUAUUUGAUAAGUCUAUAACAAAAGUUGUGCUUUGUGGCUUAUUUAUGAGGUAAAUGCAUAAAAUAUCAUUAUACUUUGAAAUUGAACCUAUAAAUACAUAAAAUUCAGGAACAAAAUAGGGGUGGGGUAUAAUGGUCAAUUUGAUUGGUUGCACUAUAAUUGAAGUUAUUGAUAUCAAAAGAUUGAAUAUGAUAAUACAAUGUUAUUUAACUGUUUCUGUUACUUUUUUGUGUUCAUAUACCUCUAAAUAGCAAUGUUCUUUCAAUUGUAUGUCUCAUAUAACAUCCUACUUUCAUAGAUAAACAAUUUUUAAAAAUAAACAGGGACCUUUUUCGUAAAGUUAGUAAAACAGGGUCCAUUCAUGUAUUUACAUUUCCCUAUUAUUAAAAUAUGGACCAUUUAUAUAAUUUAUAUUUUUUUAUACAACUUCAUUACCUAUCACCUCUGUAAAAUAUAGCAUCUUACAAUUAUUUUUAUUCUAAAUUCACUGAAUAAUGAUGCUAUGUUAAAGUACAUAGCUAUUUACUUUUAAUUUCUGAAUACCGGCAGUUUCUAUUAAUUUUGAAAAAACAAGGACCAUUUUAGUAAACUUUUAAAAGCAGGUCCAAAGUAAUAUACCUUAGUACAUGAAGAAAACACAUUCAGCCUAUGCAGCACUUAUAACUAUUUUCAUCCCCUUAAUACAUGAAUAAAUUAUCUUAUUAUGCCAUCAACAUACCAUUACUAAUUGACAAAGAUACACAUACAAAUUCAUAAGGGGUACUGCUAAAUGUAAGAAAUACCUACGUAUUUCAAUUUUUUUUGUAUAUUAUAACAUUAUAUUGACAUUUUAAAUCACGGACCAUAUUUUUUUACUUUAAUAACUAACUUUUAGACAAUUGCACAAAAUAACAUGGACUUCCAUAAAAAAACAUAUUUGUGUAUAUUCACUAAUAAAUACAUUUGCAAAUGAUUAAAAUUUCAUGCUAAAAC